AAAUAAUCCUAAAAUAAUCUCACGACACUCAACAAAUUAAUUUCCUUUUCCCCUACUCGCGUCCCCACUACCUAAAGAGCUUUAUACUUGGUUAUAAUGGAAAGCAAAACAACGACCUCUUGCGUGAAAUUUAUGUACAAACUAGUCCACUUCCGCUUACAAAAGAUUCAUUCGAUCCCAUAACUUAAUUACUUCAUAGUAUUUCCGAAUGAGCCAACCGCGAUCUUCAAAAGAUAUCAAUGAUCUAGGAAACUUGUACAACAUUUACUUAAUCUCUGAAAUGUAAUAAUUUACAAAUAAAGUUGAUCUCAAUCAGUGGCGGACUGGACCUUGUGCCUGGUGGGUCAAAUGACUCACCAGGGCCCAAAAAAAAUUUUAAGUUUUUUUUUUUUUAAAAAAAUAAAAUAAAAUAAAAAUCUAACUUCAGGUCCCGACACUUCCUCAAGCCCUAGCCCACUGCCUCCUCAGCUGCUCUUCCCUCUUCGCCUCUUGACUUCCUCUUCGCUUCAUCUUCACCAGACUGCCUCCACCCAGCCACCCUCCAGUCGCCUGCUCUGCCUCUGCUGCUUGCCUGCUUGAUGCUUUCCUGCUCCGUCUCCGUGGUCACUGCUCUUCGCCUCUUCGCAAUCGCUUCGACGCAAUUGCUAAUUCACUAUUAACGCUUCCUCUUCGCUCAUCGGCUCACGCCUCGUCGCCUCCAGUGCUGGCCCUGCUGCUCCGCCUACUCGCCUCAAUCAGCGUCUGCCGUCUGGCAAGAAUGAAGAGAAAACGCAUUCCAAAUAAAAUGCAAAACAUUACUAGCUUUUUUGCUAAAAAGAAUCCUACUCCAACUUCUCUUCCACAUCCAACACAAAAUGAACAAACUAUAUCUCAACCUCAAGAAAGUGAACAACAUUCAUCUCCAUCUCAUUAUUCAACUUAAAAUUCCCCUCAAAAUGAACAAGGCCAAUGUUCUCCUAAUGCCCCAAUCUUUGAUGAAAGAUUAAGUGAACAUGAAUUUGCUAAUCUUCCACAAGAUCCAGGAAAGAGGAGAAAGAUGAGUGAAUUUCAUAAAGAUGAUAGAGAUUUAGUGAGAAGAAUUUACAUUCAAAGAAAGCCUUGUCAGCUCAAAGACUUUGUAUUUCCUCAAACUUCUAUUUUUGGCAAAAAACCGUCGCUUUUGUGCUAAGUGGUUUGGUACUUGGACUUGGCUUGAGUAUAGUGUGGAAAAGGAUGCUGCCUAUCGGUUGUAUUUUGUAUUGUUUGAAUAUUUGGAUGUAUUUUUUAGUACUAUUAUUUGGUUGUUUGGUAAAAUUUUUUUUUUACAUAUUUGAUUAUCGAUUGUGACUCACCAGUCGGAAAUUCCUGGGUCCGCCACUGAUCUCAAUGCAUUUGAUGUCAUUAUAUCUCAUAUAACUACCACAGUAUCUCAUUAUAUUGCAACAAUUUCAACUAGAUUGUACUCCAUGUAAUAAUAUACAUCAUGUACAAUAAUUGAAAAUUUUGCCGCCCAUAGACGAACUAAAAAUGACA